CACGUGAGCGCGCGCCGCGCUGGUUUCUAAGUUUAGCUCGGCGGCUUCGGUGGGGUCGGGCGAGGAAGCUGAGGGAUGCUCUGUUAAAAUGAGGGAAGAAACCAAGAGGAAGGCAUGAGAUGCAGAAACCAACGACUCCAACUGUUGUUGCAAAGGAAUACAGUGUUCAAAAUCCAGACAUGAGCUCUCCACAGGGGAGUAGAUGCUCUGUAGUAACCUUAAGGAGAAAGAGCUUCCAUCAUGCCGCGCCUGAGAUCUCCUAUGACCGCCUUCUCAGCGACCGUAGGUAUUGGAAGAGCCGUGUCUGCAGUCCUCAGGGCAGUGCGGUGCGUGUGAGACAUGCAGGACUCAGAAGCAGUUCUCAUCAUGGGAGAAGAAUCCACGGCACACAAGAACAGGGGCUUCAGCAAAGGAAAAUCAGAGGGGUUCUCGAGGCCGAGUGCAAGGAGCCAGCCUGGAGAGGAGGGGCCCCCCAGGGCCACAGAGAGAAGGGAAGGGCCGACUCGUUAUCUAGAAUGCGAAGAGGGAAGAGGGGC